AAGUCGUAACAAGGUUUCCGUAGGUGAACCUGCGGAAGGAUCAUUAUUAAUUCUUCUAGUUGAGCGGCUGCGCGUUAAAAAACGCGGUCGUUUUUCUUGUGAACUGGGGCUGCUAGUGUAAAAAAGUUUACGCUUUUUUUUUCUGGCGGCCUGUCGUUAAUGCUCUUGUGUUAAAUUUUUUUGUUUUUGCUUUUUUAAGCUUAGCGGCUUAAGAAAAUAAUUACAAGACAACUUUCAGCAAUGGAUCUCUUGGCUCUU
rnacentral:misc_RNA from 1 species